rnacentral:rRNA from 1 species
UGAAUACGAGACGCUAAGGCGUCGAAGUAGUGUAUGUCAUACUUCCAAGAAAAGCUUGCACUGUCAUAGAUAAAAAACGCCUGUACCAUAACCGACACAGGUGGGUAGGUAGAGUAUACUAAGGGGCGCGAGAUAACUCUCUCUAAGGAACUCGGCAAAAUAACUCCGUAACUUCGGGAGAAGGAGUGCCUUAUUCGUAAGGUUGCAAUAACAAGAUCCAAGCAACUGUUUAUCAAAAACACAGGUCUCCGCUAAGUCGUAAGACGAUGUAUGGGGGCUGACGCCUGCCCAGUGCCAGAAGGUUAAAGAAGUUGGUUAGCAAUUGCGAAGCUGAUAACUGAAGCCCUGGUGAACGGCGGCCGUAACGAUAACGGUCCUAAGGUAGCGAAAUUCCUUGUCGGGUAAGUUCCGACCCGCACGAAAGGCGUAAUGGUUUGGAUACUGUCUCGGAGAGGGGCUCGGUGAAAUAGACUUGUCUGUGAAGAUGCGGACUACCUGCACCAGGACAGAGAGACCCUAUGAAGCUUUACUGUAACUUGAAAUUGAAAUUGGACUUUAUUCGCGCAGUAUAGGUGGGAGGCGUUGAUUAUAAUCUUGUGGGAUUAUUGGAGCCAUCAGUGAGAUACCACUCUUGUAAUGUUAGAUUUCUAACUUUGAAUCAUUAUCUGGUCAAAGAACAGUCUCAGGCGGGCAGUUUGACUGGGGCGGUCGCCUCCUAAACGGUAACGGAGGCGUACAAAGGUUUCCUCUGAACGGUUAGAAAUCGUAUCUAGAGUGUAAAGGCAUAAGGAAGCUUGACUGUGAGACCUACAAGUCGAGCAGGGACGAAAGUCGGUCUUAGUGAUCUGACGGUACUGAGUGGAAAGGCCGUCACUCAACGGAUAAAAGUUACUCUAGGAUAACAGGCUGAUCUCCCCCAAGAGUUCACAUCGACGGGGAGGUUUGGCACCUCGAUGUCGGCUCAUCGCAUCCUGGGGCGGUAGUACGUCCCAAGGGUUGGGCUGUUCGCCCAUGAAAGCGGUACGCGAGCUGGGUUCAGAACGUCGUGAGACAGUUCGGUCCAUAUCCGGUGUAGGCGUUAGAAUAUUGAGAGGAGCCUUCUUUAGUACGAGAGGACCGAGAAGGACAUACCUCUGGUGUACCAGUUAUCGUGCCAACGGUAAACGCUGGGUAGCUAUGUAUGGAGUGGAUAACCGCUGAAAGCAUCUAAGUGGGAAGCCCACCUC